CGCUGCUAUCCGUUGUAGGAUUCUCGUUGAGACGUCUUUGGAUUCUCACCGGGCAUUCCUACGACUGACGGUUUAGAC
rnacentral:pre_miRNA from 1 species